rnacentral:misc_RNA from 1 species
UCCGAGUUGACCCCGGCAGUCUCCUAUGAGUUCCCACCAUUACGUGCUGGCAACAUAGGACGAGGGUUGCGCUCGUUGCGGGACUUAACCCAACAUCUCACGACACGAGCUGACGACAGCCAUGCAGCACCUGUGUUCCAGUUCCCUUUCGGGCACACCCGGCUUUCACCAGGCUUCCGGACAUGUCAAGGGUAGGUAAGGUUUUUCGCGUUGCAUCGAAUUAAUCCACAUAAUCCACCGCUUGUGCGGGUCCCCGUCAAUUCCUUUGAGUUUUAAUCUUGCGACCGUACUCCCCAGGCGGGAUGCUUAAUGCGUUAGCUGCGCCACUGAAGGGUAAACCCCCCAACGGCUAGCAUCCAUCGUUUACGGCGUGGACUAC